CAGUGUGAUACUUUGUUUAUUUCUCUGGCACGCAAGGAUUCUGUAGGCCUUACUUGUGCUGCCCUCCUGGGGCUGUCCACUAGAAAAACCACCCAAUUUCUAUUUUUAUGGGAAGUUUAAGAGAGGCAUAGCUGUAUUAAAAACAAUAAAAGACAUAUAGUUUUCUAAACUGUAAAAGUACAAGAAUAUAGAGUAUCGAUUACAUGGACAAUUCAAUCCCGGGCCUCAGGAAG